CUCUCUCUCAAAUUUUUUUCUGUUUUACAACACGUUAUUAGCACGAAGCUCUAACCCAAGCCCUAGCCAAGAAAAAAAAAACCCCUUGCUGUAGCCUAUUUGCAUGCCCCGAAACCUCUUGAUUGGGACCUCAGAUCAAAAUCUUUCCUUCAUCAAAGUUGUUCGUCUCUGUCUCUUCUAUUUUCCCUCCAAAUUUCAAGCCUAUUGGAGUCAUUUUGAGACCUGUACACCAUUCGAAGUGGGAGCUGUCCAGAAGAGGCGAAUAGCUCUUGGAUUGGCUGAGAAGACAACCUUCUUAGUUCUGCACAUAUAAACUGAAGAUUCAUCCGCUCUUCAUCAAGUAAUGUUUCCAAAAUCUAAUUUUAUAUUCAUGUUUAUUGAGCCUAUUGAUUGAACAUGAAAAAUCCUCCAUGAUGUAUGAACCCUAAAUUCUAAUUGUUUUAUUUGGAAUAUAUAUACAUGUUCAUGUUUUGGAUUGUUUGAUUGGAAAAGAAAAAAAUUUGGAUACUUUGGCUGCACUUGGUCUAGUAGCACCAAUUCACAACUAGAGAGCAUCAAUCAAUCAUGCAAAAAUAACCGCUGCAUUAAUUUAUUUACGUUACGAUUUAAUAAUAUAUAUUGAAUUUGGUUAUGUUAUAAUUGAGAAUAUUAAAUGUGGCUGAGUCAGAAGCUAAAAUCAAGCCCAAAGUCACAACAACAAAUCCGAGCCAGAAGCUCAGGCCCAAGGUGCAAGGCUAGCACAGAAACUCGCCACGUGUGGCCAUAACAAAGGUUAUGAAUCUUCUCAAAGUUGGCUCAUCCAGUUGGAUGCGAUGUCUAGACCAACCUGAGCCCAGCAGGCCCACUCUCCCUGCACAGGACCUAGCAGCCCAGUAGGCCUCACAUAUUCUUUGACUAGUGCAUGAAAGCCUACGUCACGAGCUUGCAGACUAAGCCCAAUAGGCUUCACUAUCAAGCCCACUCAUUUGGUCCAUCAGAAUCAAAUAAAAGGAAAUAUGAUUUGAUAUUGUAAAUAAAUUCACCAUAUUUAAUAUGUGUAAUUAAUUGCCAGAAGCAUUUAUUCACAUAAUUGUGUGAUAAUUAAUCUGUAAUAAAUUAAUAUCUCAAUUUAUUUAUGAUUUUCAUUUA